GGGGGAUUAGCUCAGUUGGCUAGAGCACCUGCUUUGCAAGCAGGGGGUCAUCGGUUCGACUCCGAUAUCCUCCA
rnacentral:tRNA from 4 species